GUGCUCACUUUGGCAGCACAUAUACUAAAAUUAGGCAAUGUAGAUAAGAUUAGCAUGGCACCUAUAUAAGGCUGACAUGCAAAUCCAUGAAAUGUGCCAUAUUUUA